AGGCGCCCAAGAACAUGUAACCUUCACCACAUUAAACCAUAAAAUUAAAGCAUUCAAUAUAGAAAUAAUACCUGAAAAUUAAAUAUGUAUAACCCCCACAAUAAAUAAAAUAAAAAAAUCAAAAUAAUUAAAUUAAUAAAAACGGUUAAAUUUUUAAAACCUUUUUAAAAUUCCAACAAUACAUUGGGGUGUUAGCACUCACAAGAGUCUCUCUUAUCGAUUUGAAAUGGAAUAAAGUGCCC
rnacentral:lncRNA from 1 species